UACGUAGGGCGCAAGCGUUGUCCGGAAUUAUUGGGCGUAAAGAGCUCGUAGGCGGCCUGUUGCGUCCGCUGUGAAAUCCCGGGGCUUAACCCCGGGCGUGCAGUGGAUACGGGCAGACUAGAGGUAGGCAGGGGAGAGCGGAACUCCUGGUGUAGCGGUGGAAUGCGCAGAUAUCAGGAAGAACACCGGUGGCGAAGGCGGCUCUCUGGGCCUUACCUGACGCUGAGGAGCGAAAGCGUGGGUAGCGAACAGG
rnacentral:rRNA from 1 species